rnacentral:misc_RNA from 1 species
AUAUGAAUGUGUGUGUGUGUGUUUGUGUAUUUACUAUGGAUAUAGUAUAUUGGGAUAUUUAUUGUUUAACAAUUUUUAGUACUAUGUUUAUUUCAAGUAUAAAUUCAUUAUCUUUCUAAGUGAUUGCAUAUUAAUUAUAUAUAUAUUAUAUUUAUUCAGUUUAUAUACGAUCAAUAAUUUGAAUUCAAAUGUUGAAUGAUACUGAAUAAAUAACUUGUGGUUAAAGUUUUCCUAAUAAUUCAGGCAAAUGAAUAAAAAUGAUUCGAUGAGUAGAUAUGGACCACUCGUCGGUGCAAUUGAUGAAGGCACCAGUAGCGCUAGAUUUUUGGUAUUUGCUGCGGAGACAGCCGAAGUGUUAACGUAUCAUCAAAUUCCAAUAAGUCAGACUUAUCCGAAGGAAGGAUGGGUUGAACAAGAUCCCAUAGAAAUCUUAAACGCAGUGAGAGAAUGUCUUCGUCAAACUGUAUUUAAUUUAGAACAAUUAACUAUAGAUCCGACUGAUAUUGUUGCUAUUGGGAUAACUAAUCAAAGAGAAACGACUGUUGUAUGGGAUUCUGUUACGGGAAGACCAUUGUAUAAUGCAAUUGUAUGGAUGGAUAUGAGAACUACUUCUAUAAUAGAUGACAUGUUAAAAGGGAUAUGGAAUCGGAACAAAAACUAUCUGAAGUCACUCUGUGGUUUACCUAUUAGCCCUUAUUUUAGUGCAUUAAAAUUAAAAUGGUUACUUGAAAAUGUACCAGAAGUUCAAGAAUCCUUAGCCAAAGAUCAAUGUAUGUUUGGGACAAUAGAUACCUGGCUAAUUUGGAAUUUAACUGGAGGAGUAAAUGGUGGUGUUCAUACUACAGAUGUUACUAAUGCUUCGAGGACUAUGCUUAUGAAUAUUAGAACAUUACAAUGGGAUCCAAAACUACUAUCAUUUUUUCAAAUACCAUCAAGUAUUCUGCCACAAAUACGAAGUUCGUCAGAAAUUUAUGGAUAUAUCCAGGAUGAUAUUCUUCAUGGUGUACCAAUAUCUGGAUGUUUAGGAGAUCAACAAUCAGCACUUGUAGGUCAGUUAUGUUUUCAACAAGGACAAGCUAAAAGUACAUACGGUACUGGGUGCUUUCUUUUGUACAAUACAGGCACUGCUAUUGUAGAUUCAUCUCAGGGUUUAUUAACCACAGUUGCAUAUCAAUUGGGUGCAAAUGCAACACCAGUUUAUGCUCUUGAAGGCUCUAUAGCAAUUGCUGGUGCUGCUAUUAAAUGGUUAAAAAAUAAUCUUGGAAUAUUAUCUAACGUAAAGGAAAGUGAAGCUAUGGCAGAAAGUCUUUCUUCCGAUAGUCAUGUCACUUUCGUUCCUGCAUUUUCAGGUUUAUAUGCACCAUAUUGGAGAAAAGAUGCUAGAAGUGUUAUAUGUGGACUAACAGAGAGAUCGACAAAUGCCCACAUUGUAAAAGCAGCUUUGCAAUCCGUAUGUUUUCAAAUAAGAGAUGUUUUAGAAGCCAUGAAGAAAGAUACAGGAAUAAUAUUAUCUAAGUUAUUAGUAGAUGGUGCCAUGACUAGUAAUGAUUUAUUAAUGCAAAUGCAAGCCGAUAUAUGUGGUACACCAGUGAAAAGUCAGACCUUUAAUGGCUGAAACAACUGCUCUUGGAGCUGCAAUAGCUGCAGGUAGUGCCGAAGGUAUACGUAAAUGGGAUAUAAAAACAGGAUCAAUUGUACCGAGUGACAUUUUCUUGCCUUCCAUAAGUGAAGAAGAAAGCAACAUCUUGUAUUCGCAAUGGAAAGAAGGCAUUAAUAGAAGUUUAGGAUGGAAGACAAUUACUAAUACAGAUGAUAACAAAAUAAUGAAAA